GGAAGGUCCCCCACAUUGGAACUGAGACACGGUCCAAACUCCUACGGGAGGCAGCAGUGAGGAAUAUUGGUCAAUGGGCGAGAGCCUGAACCAGCCAAGUAGCGUGCAGGAUGACGGCCCUAUGGGUUGUAAACUGCUUUUAUAAGGGAAUAAAGUGAGUCUCGUGAGACUUUUUGCAUGUACCUUAUGAAUAAGGACCGGCUAAUUCCGUGCCAGCAGCCGCGGUAAUACGUGAAGGUCCGGGCGUUAUCCGGAUUUAUUGGGUUUAAAGGGAGCGUAGGCCGGAGAUUAAGCGUGUUGUGAAAUGUAGACGCUCAACGUCUGCACUGCAGCGCGAACUGGUCUUCCUUGAGUACGCACAAAGUGGGCGGAAUUCGUGGUGUAGCGGUGAAAUGCUUAGAUAUCACGAAGAACUCCGAUUGCGAAGGCAGCUCACUGGAGCGCAACUGACGCUGAAGCUCGAAAGUGCGGGUAUCGAACAGGAUUAGAUACCCUGGUAGUCCGCACGGUAAACGAUGGAUGCCCGCUGUUGGUCUGAAUAGGUCAGCGGCCAAGCGUAAAGCAUUAAGCAUCCCACCUGGGGAGUA
rnacentral:rRNA from 1 species